rnacentral:rRNA from 1 species
GGCCGCAGUAUUCUGACUGUGCAAAGGUAGCAUAAUCAUUAGGUUUUUAAUUGGGAUCUUGUAUGAAUGAUUGGACAAGAGAAAUACUGUCUUUGUAUUAAAACUUGAAUUUAACUUUUAAGUGAAAAGGCUUAAAUACACUAAAGGGACGAUAAGACCCUAUAAAACUUUACAUUUAUGUUAAAUUUUAUGGAAUUUGAAGAUUAUAAUUAUUAGAUUUAAUUUUUUUGUUAUGUUGGGGAGACAAUAGCUAUAAUUAUAUAUAGUAACUGCUUUUAAGGGAAACAAAAAUAAGUGGAAAGAUUAGAGAUCCUUUAUUAAGAUUAUAAGAUUAAGUUACUUUAGGGAUAACAGCGUUAUUUUUUUUGAGAGUUCAUAUUGAAAAAAAAGAUUGCGACCUCGAUGUUGAAUUAAAAUAUCUUUAUAAUGCAGGUGUUAUAAGAGAAGGUCUGUUCGACCUUUAAUUUUUUACGUGAUCU